AGGGUUUUAAUCGUUUUUUAUUUAGAGUUUAGGAUUUAUCCAAGGGUUUAGGGUUUACCCAAGGGUUUAGGGUUUACCCAAGGGUUUAGGGUUUAUGAUUUAAGGUUUAGGGAUUAGGAUUUAUGGUUUAGUGUUUUGUUGACAACAUUAAAAAUAUAUUUUUUUUUAAUUUUUUUCUGUAACUAUUAUCUUUUUUUACUUUUUUAUUUUAAAAACAUAAUAAAAUUUGAGAAUAUUUUGUUUCCUUUUUUAAAAGAUAUCGAAUUUGAAAUAAUGAAAUCCUAUUGGUUGGUGAACCUAGAGGUUCACCCUAGGGGGUGAACCCAAGAAUGACUCGUCGUACAUAAACGGAACAUAUUUUUUUCUCGACUUUUUCUUGGGUUCACUCCAUAGGGUGAACUUUU
rnacentral:lncRNA from 1 species